UGUUUCUGCCAGGGCUAGAACCUGGGACCUUCCGGGUGUUAGGCGGAUGUGAUAACCACCACACCACAGCAAC
rnacentral:tRNA from 1 species